GAGACCCACGCCAACAGUUGCCAGCUCGUCCUCCGGGAUGGUGGGGACACUGUUGGGACCGCCUCUGCUAAAGAGGAGGAAGGAAUGGGCAACGGUAGGUCAGCAUGCCCCGAAUUAUCCGGGCUACACGCGGGCUACAAUGGGUGGGACAAUGGGUAUCGACACCGAAAGGUGAAGGCAAUCUCCUAACCCAUCCUUAGUUCGGAUUGUGGGCUGCAACUCGCCCACAUGAAGCUGGAAUCUGUAGUAAUCGUGUCUCAACAUGGCACGGUGAGUAU
rnacentral:rRNA from 1 species